UGCGCGUCGUUGCCGCGUUCGUUAGUAAUCGCAUAACAUUGGUGCGCAUGCGCCUGCGCUGUUCGUAUUAACUCUAUCACACAAGAACAAUUAAUUAGGAAACGAAAUUAAGCGAAAUCGCUGGAGGCGAACACACCACUGGUUCGAAUGGAAAGCUCCAGCUGCGCUCCGUUGGGACUACAGACAGCAAGCAGCAACUUGGAAGCGAUGUAUAAAGCGAAAAAACGGGUGUCCUGCUGUGUUUACAGUGAACGGCACGAACAACCACUGGAGUCGCACUUUUGCCAGCUGUAAAAGUCAGACAGCAAUCGAAAACGGGCGAACGACAUCAGCAUUCAACAGCAACAGUGGCAGUUGGUCGAAUGAGCUUGUAAUUAAGUUCGGUUUCCAGUUGGCGAUUCCACUUGUAAGACAUUGUAAAAAACGAAAGGAAAAGAAUAAUAUGUUGUUGCCCAAACACACAAAAACCCCCUCCCCAAAACAGCCAGCGAAAUGGCAUUUCAGUUGGAAGAGGAAUCGGCAUUUCAUUUGCUUGUCGACAGCGUACACAGUAGCCUAAGUUUGCAGCAAACAUGCCAGUCACAGUUGCAACAACAGUUCUAUUAGUUUGUCCCCGCGUAUUGGCAAACGUGCAGAAUGCUAUUUAAUUUAGCUGCUUGCCAACCGCAGCACGAUUCACGAUUGUGGAUCACACGGGAAACAUGUUAAUCCAUCUGAGUGCCCUCGAUGUCCGAUGCGCGUUAUGCUAGGUAUGUGCCUGCGACUUGACAGUUCAUGACACCGUCCGUGCAAGGCAACAUGACAUUUGACAGUUGAAAUGUCCGCUGGCCAUUGGCCGAUCACUGUUUUACGAAGAGAGCACAGCAUUGUCAAGGCUCGGCUUUUCAAUUGGCAAUUAGAAAUUGGCAACAGGCGCGACAUUAGUGCUGAUGUGACACAGCGAGUGGCAGAGUGGCAGUUGCAACAUGCACUUUACAUGCAUUGCGCGAAUUGACAAGAUGGCAAGAUACGCGAUACGCGAUAGGAAUCAGCUGUUGCGGGAACGGGAGCUGCUACAACCCGAGCGCCACAAAUGUCAAAUGCCAUGUGAUGACAGACCCGAUACGAAAGAUAACAUGGAAGCACAGCGAUGCGCACUUAUGCAGUUUAGAUUUAAAUGCGAUAAACUGCGAUAGCCAUCGGAGUGGCGCUUGUGAAAGGAUUCACUCGAAUGUGCAAGAAUAUUUGAGAUGCAUAAAA